GAUCCUGGCUCAGGAUGAACGCUAGCUACAGGCUUAACACAUGCAAGUCGAGGGGCAGCAUGAACUUAGCUUGCUAAGUUUGAUGGCGACCGGCGCACGGGUGAGUAACACGUAUCCAACCUGCCGAUGACUCGGGGAUAGCCUUUACGAAAGAAAGAUUAAUACCCGAUGGCAUAGUUCUUCCGCAUGGUGGAACUAUUAAAGAAUUUCGGUCAUCGAUGGGGAUGCGUUCCAUUUAGG
rnacentral:rRNA from 1 species